rnacentral:miRNA from 1 species
AGAGUAUCACGUGACGCUCCUU